rnacentral:lncRNA from 1 species
GCACAGCUCCGGGCAGCGACCCGCGAUGCGGCAUCCUUCCGUCCGGUCGGAGCCCUCCUAGCCCUCAGCGCGUCUAUUCCUAGCUUCGGUCCCCGCAGCCAUAUAAGCAAUGACACCCUCGCCGACUCGCCUGCCAGCUUGGCCGCCUCCCUGCAGAGGGCUGACGCUUCUCCAGAAGUUAUAUAAGCUCCAUGAGAACAGCCACCUUGUUUACCUUGUUCAUGGAUACAGAACAGUGCCUGGUGCUCAAUAAAUGAACAGUGAGUGAAUAAGUGAGUGUUGAGUCAUCUAAGUGAGCUUAGAUGAACUGACAAUGAGACUGUGCACAAUGAAGAGAAAGGAGGACUCUUGAGGAAUUCCACCAGCUUGAAGAUGGCUGAAGAAAGAUGACAGAAAGCAAUCAGAGGGAUGGAGGGCAAACUAAGAAAGCAGAGUCAAGAGUAGGAAGAUUGGGAAGUGGUAGACAACAUUAGGAAAUACUGCAGAAAAACCUAAAAGGAUGAGAAUUAGGAAAGACACUAUUGAAUUUGGUCUUUGGGGCUGAAAAAAAAGGCAGCUGCAGAAAAGAAAUUGGAGUGGAACCCCAUUUGCACAGAAAUUAUGGAGUAAUUAGGACACCAGGCAGAAAGUUUGGCAAUGAAUGGAAGGAGAGAUGACAGCCUUGGGCAUUCGCUCGCAGAACGCAAGGACAUUCAUUCUUAAUUCAGUAGAAAAGUGUCGUGUUGUUACUGUCUCAAGUGGAAGCGCCCUCUCACUCCUUCAUUGUCCUAAGAGAACAAAAGGGGCCUUGAAUUUCAUGACUGCCCCAGUGAUGCUUCUGAGAGCUUGAGCUUUGGAAUCAGACUGCCCACAUUCAAACCCCAGUUCUUCCUAUUGCUGGCUGUGUGAUUUGGGGAAAAUUACUUGAUUCCCUAAGUUUUCUCAUCUGUGAAAUGGGGAUUCACUCAGUUAGUGAAUAUUAUUCAGCUCCUACCAUGUGCAGACACUGUUCUAGUGGGGGAUUCAGCAUACCAGCAGUAAAUGGAUCUCUGUACAAUGCCAAAAACAUGAAGCCAACUAUUCAUAGUAUUUUUAAGUGAUAUCCUGGUGCUGCUUCCAGGAAGAUGGAGUAGAUAUACUUUUCCCUAUUGCUCCCACUAAGUACAACUAAAACCCUGGACAUUAUGUAUAAACAUGCAUAAGAAGAUGCUGAAAGGUGGUAAGAAAGCAGACUGGCCAGGGACUUUGCGAUCCAAGGAACAACCUGGUGAUGAGUUUCCUGUACCCCAGACUUGGGAUAAAGGAGCUGGCAACCCAGAAAUGCCAACGGGAGCAAAUAAAAAAUCCCCAACAAAAGCCUGUUUCUCUAGACAAAGGACUAGGACAGGGGCAGCCUAACAAAACAGAAAACUCUUAGUAACAACUUACUCCAGCUAAAUAGCACAGAAAAACCUAUGGUCCACUCCCACCCACACCACCCAAGGGUGUGGGAGUCCAGGCUAUCACAAGGGGCCUCGCCUCCACUGGUGUGGUAUCGCAAAAGCCACAGGGAGCUGGUUCUUUCAUCCCCAUCUGACAAAAGGCUCCCACCCCCAUGGUGUCAGCGGAGACCACACUGGGAGCCUGAACUUCCACCCACUCACAGCUGUAACAAGGCAGUCCCUCCACCUCCCUGCUGGGGUGGUGUCAGAGGAGGCCAAGUGGAGAGUCAGGACUUUCACCAUAGCCCAGUGACAAUGAAGCCACCUCCCUAUGGUGUCAGUGGAGGCCAUAAGGAACAGUAACGAGGUCUAGUGGGAAUCCAGAACUGCCACCCUGCCCAGCAGUAACCAGGAGCCCCUCCCCUCCGUGUGGACAGAGGCCAAGUGCUGAAGCUGGACUUUGCUCCCCCUAGCCCUGCUAGGUGGCUAUUAGAACAGCCAGCUAAAACUGGUUUCACCAAGACAGAUUUAGGAAGACAGUGCCCCGGGCAGGAAAAUGAAGGCACGGAGAGGUUAAAUAUAAUAACUUGCUAGUGGUCAAUCAGUAGGCAGUAGAGGAGCCAGCAUAUAAACCCAAGCUGCCCAGCUGCAGAACCACAUUCUUGUCCCAUAUGCUAUGCCUCUCAAAAAAGGAGGCCCUCUCCUUGGGACACAAAGGUAAUAAAAAUGCCUGCCCUGAGCUGUGUCUCUGUCUAGGUACACAGUUCAUGAGUGAAGGAGCUCCUGGAGUCAUGAAUAAUGGAAGUCCAGAUUGGUCAAGUAACUUGUCCCAGCCCCAGCCCAUGCAUCUGGUAUGUGGUUGGACAGGUUUCUAACUCAUUACGUAACAUCAAGAACAUUUUAAACUGCUUUGAGACAUUUGUGAAUUAAGAUCUCAAUAAAUAGUCCUCCCUGGCACCAGCUCCAUCCACAUUAAAUGAGACUUGAAAAUUUCUUUGAAUGGAUAUUAGUUUAGAAGGAGCUAAGUUAUUAGUUGGCCUCACAUUCCUCAGUUGGGCCCUGGGCCCAGCAUGCCACUUCUCCUGGUUAUUAUGGUUCACAUCUGAGGUAACCCAUCGGGAAACUGGAUGGGACAACAAACUAAAAAUGUUUUAGUUUGGACCUGUCCAAAACCAAGAGAAUAAAAACAAAAUGGAUAGUCAAGAUGAUUCAGAGCUAUGGAAUGUGUCAUUUUUGCUCAGAAGCGUGCUAACUUGCAGUGUGGUUUAUCAAAGCCUUGAAUUUAUCGUCUUCCUUGUUUCUGCUGCCUUUUCACUGUUAGAAGAGGGAGAAGGAGGAAAACAAAAAAGGAAACCAAAAAGAGAAAAUGCCUUAUUUUUCUCAUUCUCAUUAAACACAGUGAAAGAGAGAACUGAAGGGAUUGACUGAAAUUUGAUUUUCCUAGACUCUACCCCACUUUAGACAAUGAUUUAAAAAACCUAGAUUUAUGAAAAUGAUCAAGUGAAGAGUGACUACCCACUUCAGAGUUUUUAUUUUUAAUAAAAGGGUUUUAGGAGAACUUUUUUUUUAAAAGUGAUUUCCUUUAUUUAAAAUACCCUUCAUGCUGGGCACAGUGGCUCACACCCAUAAUGCCAGCACUUUGAGAGGCCAAGACAGGGAGAUUACCUGAGCCCAGCCCAGGCAACAUAGUGAGACCCUGUCUCUCAAAAAAAAAAAAAAAAAAAAAAAGCAAGCAAGCAAGCCAGGCAUGAUGGCACAUGCCUAUAGACCCAGCUACUUGGGAGGCUGAGGUGGGAGGAUCAUUUGAGCUCAGGAGUUCAAGGUUAUAGUGAGCCAUGAUCACUCCACUGCACUACAGCCUGGGUAACAGAGACCCCAUUUCUCAAAAUAAAAUAAAUACCCUUCAGGCUCAGAUAUAUAUAGAAAUUGAGUACAGAUAUAUGCUCAGAAUGGCUUUUCAAAUCUGAUGGUAUUGGCUUAAGUGGACAACCAUCUGUGGAUGCAUACUUCACACCUUGCUUCAAAUUCAUUCCAUGUGGAUCUAAAUGCAAGAAAUGAAAACAUGAAAGUACUAAAAGAAAUCGUGGGAGAAAAGGUUUUAUAAACUUCAAGGGGACAAAUAUAAAGAACUAAAUCAAAGGAUAAACAAAUGGAUUUUAAAUAUAUAAAAGGUGCUCAAAUUCACCCAUAAUAAAGGCAAAUGAAACUAUACCUAGAAGUGACAGAAGUAUAUAAAUCCCAUGUUCUAUCCCACCCUAAAAAUCCUUAUCAAUACUAGCAAAGGUUAUGCUGGCUUUUCAGAGAAUAUUCCAUGGGAUGGUGGCUUAAGCAACUUUAUUUGGUUAUUAAAGGAAAGGUAGACCUCAUAAGGCUGGGAGGCCUUAAGUACAUUUGGAUUAUAACUGCAAAAUAAGAGAAAAGAACAUACUCCCACUAAAUAAAACAUCUUCU